rnacentral:lncRNA from 1 species
AAAUAAAUUAGAAGCCAAGAUCUUGUCAAUUGAAAUGAGAAUUCUACAUCAAUUAGUAACAAAGCUUUUCUUCCCGAGAAGUGGCAGACAUGACCUCCUUUCUGGCUGAGACAUAUGUAUAAUGUUUCAUGUGAUCAUCCAAACCCCCUUAAACCUUCCAGCUUUAAUGAUUGAGGCCAUGAGAGAAACACUGAAUAGAUCCAAGGCACAUCUGCCUUUUGGUAUAGCCCUCACACUGGUAUUCAGGAGGUUUGGAG